CUGCCCGGCAGAAAGACCCGCGAAC
rnacentral:rRNA from 1 species